GAUGAAGAACGCAGCAAAAUGCGAUAAGUAAUGUGAAUUGCAGAAUUCAGUGAAUCAUCGAAUCUUUGAACGCACAUUGCGCCCUUUGGUAUUCCAAAGGGCAUGCCUGUUCGAGCGUCAUUUGUACCCUCAAGCUUUGCUUGGUGUUGGGCGUCUUGUCUCUAGCUUUGCUGGAGACUCGCCUUAAAGUAAUUGGCAGCCGGCCUACUGGUUUCGGAGCGCAGCACAAGUCGCACUCUCUAUCAGCAAAGGUCUAGCAUCCAUUAGGCCUUUUUUUCAACUUUUGACCUCGGAUCAGGUAGGGAUACCCGCUGAACUUAAGCAUAUCAUAAGCGGAGGA
rnacentral:misc_RNA from 1 species